CAGAGGGUGCGAGCGUUGUUCGGAAUUACUGGGCGUAAAGCGCGCGCAGGCGGCCCUUUAAGUCCGUCGGUCAAAUGCCGGGGCUCAACCCCGAGCGUGCCGAGGAUACUGGAGGGCUGGAGACACGUAGAGGCAAGCGGAAUUCCGGGUGUAGCGGUGGAAUGCGUAGAGAUCCGGAAGAACACCGGAGGCGAAGGCGGCUUGCUGGGCGUGAUCUGACGCUGAGGCGCGAAAGCGUGGGGAGCGAACAGGAUUAGAUACCCUGGUAGUCCACGCCGUAAACGAUGGGCACUAGACGCUGGGGGGAUCGACCCUCUCGGUGUCGCAGCUAACGCGAUAAGUGCCCCGCCUGGGGAGUACGGCCGCAAGGUUA
rnacentral:rRNA from 1 species